rnacentral:rRNA from 2 species
GAUAUGAACUCUCCGAAAAAAUUACGCUGUUAUCCCUAAGGUAAGUUAAUCUUAUAAUCAAAAAUUCUGGAUCAAAAAAACAUAAAUUAAUGAAUUUAAAUAUUAAAAGUUUAAUAAAUUUUAAUGUCACCCCAACAAAACUUUAUAUUCUAAAAAAUUGUUUAAUUAACAAAAAACAGUAAUUUAUAAAUAAAGUAAACUUCUAUAGGGUCUUCUCGUCCUAUAAAAAAAUUUUAGCUUUUUAACUAAAAAAUUAAAUUCAAAAUAAUUUAAAAAAGAAAGUUUAUUUUUCAUCAAACCAUUCAUACUAGCCUUCAAUUAAAAGACAAAUGAUUAUGCUACCUUCGUACAGUUAAAAUACCGCAGCCUUUUAAUUCGUAAAAAUCAAUGGGCAGGUCUGAUCUUAAAUUAAAAUCAAAAGACC